UCGCAGACGCCCGCCAUGUUCCGAGAGCCACACACUGUCCCCGCCACCUCCCUCCAGCCGCCCGCCCGGCCUCCGCCUCCCGCCGGCCCCCUCGCCGCCUCGCCCCGCCCCUCGCCCGGGCAGCCGCCAUCCGUAGCCCGCCGGCCGGCGCGCGCCAUUGGCGUCAGCGGCGCGUGGGAGGCCGCGGUGGCCGCCGCCACGGCCGCCGCCAUCUUCUUCCUGCCGUCGCCGUGGCGCGCGGCGGGCUCUGCGGACCGGGGCGCCGCGCCGGGCUCCAUGCCGCCGGGUCGCGCGGUGGGGGACGGUGGGCGGCAGCGGGGCUCGGCGUGGUUGUCCGCGCGGCCGGAGCCCCUUGUGCCCGUGCGGUGGCCGGAGUGCGCCGGCGCGACCCGCCUGGCCUUGGCUGCACGGCGACUGGGGCCGGGCUCCAGCUCUGUGGCUCCCGCCGGCGCCGACCCGGUGGCUCUGCUGUCUUGGCUGCAUCUCUCCUGCAUAUUUAUGAUCGUCUGUCACAUUCCCUGUCCGUGGACAGUGUCCAAAGCCUAGCUCGGGGGAGCGUGCCAACAGCCAGCUGAGGAUAUAGCCAAGUGGAGAAUUGCUUAAGCAAAUUGAAAUGAAGACCUGGCCUGAAAAUUUUCCCUAGCUAACAGUCCCGUUCCACCUCGGAAAUAAGCUUACUGAAAUUGAAAACAUGAUCAAAACUUUGCCUUAUUAUUUGCAAAUGCUUAUGAUAUAGAAAAAAAUGUUAAGCUCUACCAGCCGAAAGCAUCAGCCUGACAUAACUUCAACACUCCAGGGAGUCUGCACUGGGAUGGACAAAAAAUAAAGUGGCUGUGGGACUAUUGCAGCCAGAUCCGUUCUUUCUUUCCAUGCUCACUUUGUGGAAGCUUGUCCCUGGGCUUCUCUGAUGAAGCCCCAAGCCCCUUCUGAAUUUGUCCUUCAGGAUCUGUGAAUUGUUGCUUGCUCAAAUACAUUCUUGAACAUUUU
rnacentral:lncRNA from 1 species